UCCCUGGUGGUCUAGUGGUUAGGAUUUAGCACUUUCACUGCCAUGGCUCAGGUUAAAUCCCUGGCUGGGGAA